AUGACCAUAGGAGGGGUGGAAACUAUUGAGGAAACAGAUGGGAAUUCCCAGAGAGGUUGCACUUGUGCAAGAUCUCUAGGAUGCAACCUGAGUAAGGACAGACAACUCCCUGAAUUUCAAUUUGGAGAGAGAAGACAUGAAAAUCAGGCUGGAGCCUUAAUUCAGAUGAAACUCUACAUUCAGACACGGUAUCUCCAUUUAAAAGGGUAUAGUUCUGCAAGCAGAGAUGCGCAACAUACAGUAGAUAAUACACUUCUGUAUAUUGAGGUGGAUCCAAAGUUUCCAAAGAAGAAGAGCUAUUUUACAUUUCACAUUAGAGCACAGUGCCAGAAGGAAAGAAAUUCUCAAGAA